UGGGGGAUAUUGCACAAUGGGCGAAAGCCUGAUGCAGCGACGCCGCGUGGGGGAUGAAGGCCUUCGGGUUGUAAACUUCUUUUGCUCUGAACAAGGCGCACCAUGGGGUGUGUUGAGUGUAGGGGUUGAUUAGCGCCGGCUAACUACGUGCCAGCAGCCGCGGUAAUAAGUAGGGCGCGAGCGUUGUCCGGAAUUAUUGGGCGUAAAGGGCUUGUAGGUGGCUGGUUGCGUCUGUCGUGAAAGCUCAUGGCUUAACUGUGGGUUUGCGGUGGGUACGGGCUGGCUUGAGUGCAGUAGGGGAGGCUGGAAUUCCUGGUGUAGCGGUGGAAUGCGCAGAUAUCAGGAGGAAUACCGGUGGCGAAGGCGGGUCUCUGGGCUGUUACUGACACUGAGGAGCGAAAGCAUGGGGAGCGAACAGG
rnacentral:rRNA from 1 species